rnacentral:rRNA from 1 species
GAUGAACGCUGGCGGCGUGCCUAAUACAUGCAAGUCGAACGCUGGAGAUCUAGCUUGCUAGAUCGAAGGAGUGGCGAACGGGUGAGUAAUACAUAAGCAACCUACCCACGAAGACUGGGAUAAUCUCUAGAAACGGGGACUAAUACCGGAUAGGUAAUCGGAAGGCAUCUUCUGGUUAUUAAAGGUUAAAAACACUGGUGGAUGGGCUUAUGGCGCAUUAGUUAGUUGGUGAGGUAACGGCCCACCAAGACGAUGAUGCGUAGCCGGCCUGAGAGGGUGAACGGCCACAUUGGGACUGAGACACGGCCCAGACUCCUACGGGAGGCAGCAGUAGGGAAUUGUCAGCAAUGGGGGCAACCCUGACCGAGCAACGCCGCGUGAGUGAAGACGGCCUUCGGGUUGUAAAGCUCUGUUGUAAGGGAAGAACGGUAGAUAGAGAAUAUCUAAGUGACGGUACCUUACCAGAAAGCCACGGCUAACUACGUG